rnacentral:lncRNA from 1 species
CUUUGUGAAUAACAAUCUUACUAACCCUCUCUUCCUUUUUCAAGCCCAUCUCUCUCGCAUAUAGACGAAGAUGCAAAGGAACAUAGAAGAAGGUCACAAUUUACUUACAUCACGAACCUCCAGGUACUCUCUUUUUAUCACAAAAGUUUUUUUUUAAAAAAACUUCUCUAUCAUUGCUUAAGCGUCGUAAAAUUAAACUAUUUGUGACUGACGUUUUUGUGAAUAUGUUGAAAAAGCAGUUUAUCUUUGUAUUUUUGUUGAACUUCACAGAAAUUUUUUGUUGUUUUUUGCUUGGGUGUCUGUCAAUUUUGAUGCUUGUCCUAUCUCGAGCUCCAUAAGAUUUUUUCAGGCACCUAUGAUUAAUUUGGGAAAAUUCUCACUUCGAAAACGGAACUUAAUUUUCUUUGUACUUUGGAAUAAGUUUAGAGGAGGGUUUAUUGAAGCACUGUAUGAAUUUGUAGGCCAUGAAGCAUCUGCGUAGAACCGGUACUUUGGAAUAAGUUUAGAGGAGGUUGCUGAAGAAACGCAGAGGAAGAGGAAAGCUCCUGAGGAGGUGGGCAAUGGUGGGAGUGUUGGCCUUGGUAUUGAUGGCAUAAAUCCCUAAUAUGGGUGGAGGGUGGUUGUUGGAUGGGAUUGGGUGGAGAGUGGUUGUGGAAUGGGUUUUGGGGUUGGAGCUUGAGGGUGGUGGCCAUGGGGGAAUGGAGAGAGAGAGAGAGAGGGAGAGAAAGUUUUUAUUUAUUUUUUAGUAUUUAUUUAUUUUUAACGUACGAAAUGAUCAAUUUGCCCUCAUAUUUAACAGCAACAUUGACAGAAUGUAACGAUAGGACUAAUGGAG